AAAAAUUUUAAUUCUUGCUAUAUGAUAGCCGUGCAUACGCGCAAUUGGAAAGAAAAAUUGUCACGAAUGCCUAUGUGUUGUAGAUUUCUACAUCUGUAUGAUAUUUUGUUUUUUCUUAUUUUAGAGAAUCAUUUAAAAAAUAUUUUUUUAAUAUACAUCAGCCAUCCUAUAUAUACACUGUGUGUAGGAGUAUAUGAUAUUAUAUUUAAUAAUGGUAGUGUAUGUAAUUAUUGUAAUUGUAAUUUCUACAAGUAAACUAUAUCCACUUAUUUGCUGAUGAUUUGUACUUUCGUUAUUCAAAUACUAAUAUAGUAAUUUUUUACACUGAUGUAAAUUUUCAGUCAUAUCCAAAGACUACCAUAACUAAUAGUAUUGAAGAUGUAGUUGGAAAUUUAAUUAUUUUAAAAAUGAAUCAAUGUUCGUGUAUAAAUAUUUUAUCUUCAUACUCAUAUACAAAUAAGAUAUUAAUUGGGGCAAAUAUGUUGUACUAUAUGUAUAUAUUAUAUAUUUGUUUUGCGAUAUUAAUGGACAUUCAUGUACUACUCCUAAAUGUAUGUAUCCAUUCAACCGUAAAUAUCAAUUUUAGCAAUAACCGCACAGUCUGAACUCAUCACUGUAUUGCUCUAAAUUGCAUGAAAGUCUUCCGGUUGAGUAAGAUUUAGCUUUUUCGCGACUGAGGAUCUGUUUAAUACUUAUUACCUUGUUUCAUUAUAUAAUUGUAAAUGUUUAACCUCACUACAUACAAAAAGCUUUUUUCUAUAAAAAUAAUUUCUGUAGUCAAAUAAUAACCGGUAGCAUCUGCUUCUUAAUCAAUGAAGUUUAUCAGUUUGCAAUAUACACAUAUGGUCAUUUAAAUAGAAUCAAAUGCAUUAUACCAUUUUUUCACUUUUUUCAAAUUAUUUGUUCGCAAAAAAUUCGCUUGAAUGCUGUAGAUUUGGAUAAACAUUUAUAGGAAUAUGGAAACAAUUAAUUUAACAAUCAGUUUUAUGGAGCUUGCAGUAAUUUCGAAAUUAAAUAAUAAAAAGAAACGUAUGAGGAAUUGUUGGAAUGAGAAAACUAUUCAAAAUCAACAGAAUUAAGAAAGGACGAAAAGAAAUGGAGAAAAUAUAUAUAUAUCAAAAGUCGGAAAUCAAAAUUUUUAAAAUAUAACUCAUUGGGUGAGAAGUUUAAAAUGCUAAGCAGACAAUAUUUAUUUCAAUCUAUUAAAGAAAUGGAUUGUGAUACAGAAUAAAAUACGGAACAGUAAACGAUUAGAAUACAGGGCAGUGAAAAGGAAUUAUUCUAAAAAAAAUAUUCAAGAAAAUUGUGCGAAUUAUAAAUGAACUCAGUUGAAUUCACCUUGAUCUCUCUGAUUAGUUAUUGCUCUCUACCGUCCUCUUCAGAGAAAAAAAUUUCACAAUUGCAAAGAAACAAUAACGCACUAAUACUUGUAGAGUAUGGUAAAUCAAAGCGAUCUCAUUGAAGAUGCGACAUUUAACCGAAUCGAAACGUUUGAAUUAUUUAAAAAAAAGUGCAAAACAAAAUGCGUCGUGAACUCUCAUAAAGAAAAUUCCCUUUCAUAUACAUAUUUAGUUAUCGCUGUAAAUAUGUGAAAAUAGUAUUGUUUGAAAGCGUGGAUAUAUUUUAGGUAAUAUUUGUAGAAAUUUCAAAGUUUAGUAAUUUUGUUUAAAUUGCAUAAUGUUUUCGUACAAAAAAAGUGUUACAAUAAAUGUAGUUCAUUGAAAAUUCAAUAUAAAAAAACACUACAAUUACAUUUCAAACCAUAAUUCUUAUUUUUAAUUAGUUUACAAGCAUUAGCAAAUUUUUUUAUUAAUGGCUUUUGAUUCCGAUUUAUCUUAAAAAAAUAUUUAAAAACUAUGCCCUUAUUUACCUAAUAUAAAAAAGUGCUACAUUUUCCCUCAAUCUCCAGUUUAACGUUUUUUUUUUUAAUUUUUUUCAAAAGUCAAUAAUUAACUUUCCACAAAAAACUACCAAUUUCAAUUCACUUGUUUGAUUGAUUCAAAGCAAAAACAGUUUGCUAUGUAACUUCAAUUUCAUCUGUACUCCUUAUUCAAGAAUUUUAAUUUAAUCGAAUGCUUAAUUUUUUGUUACAUGAUUUUUUAUAUAAAAUUUUUCGGGGUGAGGUUCCUCUCUAGUCUUUUUAUGAAUAUCCUUAUAUCUCUAGAAAAAAUAUAAAUCUUCUGUGGUAUUCUCAACACCACAAAAAUGAACCUCACCCACCAAAAUAUAUAAACAAAGAGAUCAAAAUUGUACUUGCAUUAAAUGCAUUAAAAAUACAUGGAUGCUAUUGUGGACGUCUGCAGGAACCCCCUUAAACUGAACGGGAGCACGAAGCAGGGAAAUCAUGCCGAGGUGUAAUCUAGCUGGAGCUGAUGUCCAAAUAAGAUUUUUGGAGUUAUCCCAAUUAACAUGGAUGAAAAGCAUACUUUUUUGAAAUCCCGUUACUUGCCCACAAGAAGCAUCCCCACAUGAUAAUUCUCUCGAAUUGAAAGUCAUCAACUCUUUAUAUAAAGUUUAGCCACUAAAUUUUAUUUACUUCAGCUUUUUUGUGAAAUGAAAUUGUAAUAUGCUUGUUAAUAUACUCGUAUAAGUUUAAUACUCUUAAAUAUUAAGCCAUUAAUGAAUAAAUCAUUGUUCCAAUAUAAAAAACGAAA